rnacentral:rRNA from 1 species
ACGUAGGUGGCGAGCGUUAUCCGGAAUGAUUGGGCGUAAAGGGUGCGUAGGCGGCCCGUUAAGUCUGGAGUCAAAGCCGGCAGCUCAACUGUCGUACGCUUUGGAAACUGGCGGGCUGGAGUGCAGAAGAGGGCGAUGGAACUCCAUGUGUAGCGGUAAAAUGCGUAGAUAUAUGGAAGAACACCAGUGGCGAAGGCGGUCGCCUGGUCUGCAACUGACGCUGAAGCACGAAAGCGUGGGGAGCAAAUAG